rnacentral:rRNA from 1 species
GACGAACGCUGGCGGCGUGCCUAACACAUGCAAGUCAACUUGACUGAAGGAGCAAUCUGACAGUAGAGUGGCGCAAGGGUGCGUAACGCCGUAAGUAACUUGCCCCAAGGUAAGGAAUAACGUCGAGAAAUCGGCGCUAAUACCUCAUAAUGCAGCGGAUCCGCAUGGAUAUGUUGUUAAAGGUUUACCGCCUUGGGAUAGGCUUGCGUCUGAUUAGCUAGUUGGUGUGGUAACGGCACACCAAGGCUACGAUCAGUAACUGGUCUGAGAGGAUGAUCAGUCACACUGGAACUGAGACACGGUCCAGACUCUACGGGAGCAGCAAGUGAGGAAUAUUGGGCAAUUGCUCGAAAGAGUGACCCAGCAACGCCGCGUGGAGGAUGAAGGUAUUCUAUAUCGUAAACUCCUGUGAGAGCAGACG